AUUGAACGCUGGCGGCAGGCCUAACACAUGCAAGUCGAGCGGAUGAAGGGAGCUUGCUCCUGGAUUCAGCGGCGGACGGGUGAGUAAUGCCUAGGAAUCUGCCUGGUAGUGGGGGAUAACGUCCGGAAACGGGCGCUAAUACCGCAUACGUCCUGAGGGAGAAAGUGGGGGAUCUUCGGACCUCACGCUAUCAGAUGAGCCUAGGUCGGAUUAGCUAGUUGGUGGGGUAAAGGCCUACCAAGGCGACGAUCCGUAACUGGUCUGAAAGGAUGAUCAGUCACACUGGAACUGAGACACGGUCCAGACUCCUACGGGAGGCAGCAGUGGGGAAUAUUGGACAAUGGGCGAAAGCCUGAUCCAGCCAUGCCGCGUGUGUGAAGAAGGUCUUCGGAUUGUAAAGCACCUUAAGUUGGGAGGAAGGGCAGUAAGUUAAUACCUUGCUGUUUUGACGUUACCAACAGAAUAAGCACCGGCUAACUUCGUG
rnacentral:rRNA from 1 species